rnacentral:misc_RNA from 1 species
GAUGAAGAACGCAGCGAAAUGCGAUAAGUAAUGUGAAUUGCAGAAUUCAGUGAAUCAUCGAAUCUUUGAACGCACAUUGCGCCCGCCAGUAUUCUGGCGGGCAUGCCUGUCCGAGCGUCAUUUCAACCCUCGAACCCCUCCGGGGGGUCGGCGUUGGGGAUCGGGAACCCCUAAGACGGGAUCCCGGCCCCGAAAUACAGUGGCGGUCUCGCCGCAGCCUCUCCUGCGCAGUAGUUUGCACAACUCGCACCGGGAGCGCGGCGCGUCCACGUCCGCAAAACACCCAACUUCUGAAAUGUUGACCUCGGAUCAGGUAGGAAUACCCGCUGAACUUAAGCAUAUCAAUAAGCGGAGGA